CCAGAUUGAUGUGCGUUCCAAGAGUGCUAAGGAUUACCUCCACACCAACCUGGCACCAUCGUUUGGGACAUUGAAUGCAGAAACAGUGAAGAAGAUGGAUGAGGUUCUCAAAGUUUGCAUCUCGGGAACCACAGACCUUCUAGCCAAAGUGGCACCGAAAGAGCGAACUUGGGAGAAGGUCAACUCCAUGUUCAUGCAAAAUCCCCUGGUUGAGCCAAUGGGCGAUGGGAUUAGCAGAGCUGACAAGUUUCUCAACAAAAGCUCUAGCGAUUUCAAGAUUGACGGGUCACCGGACCCAGCUAUUGUGAAAGCGGUAAUAGAGUCAUGUAUUGUGGAAGAGCUCUAUUAACCUUUGCGGCCUUCUCUCGGCACAGGUUCAGGUCUGGUUUGUGAAUCUCAUCGCAGAUGAGGACGUCCUGAAAUCAACCAAGAUCGACAUUAAAGUUGUUGGGGAAAUUGUUGCUCAGUCAGGGGCGACCAUUACCAGCUUUGAAAAUUUCUUUGCCAAGCAUGAGCACCACGAGAAGACCAUAAUUGACAUCGGGGUCUUAAGGUACCCUGAUAUGCAAAACCCGUACUUCAAGGUUUGUGCCCAGGCUGCCUUUUGUAUUUCAGUCACAGCUCAUGCUUACGAGUACAGGUGUACCGCAUCAAACUCUUUGCUUGGUCUGAUAGCAACCGUAUCGUGUUCCAUCAGGAGGAUUCCAAUGGCAUCAUUGGAGGUGAGGUGUCUAAUGUAAACCACUGAAGACUGCACGCUCCUUUUGUUCUAUUUGCAGAGUUCACCUUCCGUAAGUUUAAGCCGCGCAAGGAGACCAUUGACGAGAUGAACCCAGACGCCAAAAAGAAGGCUGUGGAAGCUGCAGAUAACAUCUUUGGUUUCUAAUAUCUAAAUUGAGCCAAAGAUGCCUCAAGCUAAAACAUCUUUCUAAAUACAUGACCUAUAACAGCUAUCUAUUGUCUUUAUAUUUUUUAAUCUCAAUUUCUGAAAAGAGACAAUCAGGGAAACAAAGACUUGACAAUAAAAGUAAUAAAUAUCUAAAACCCAGAUGCUUUGGAUUCCAAGUACUUUUGUCAAUGACUGGAACAUUGAAAGGUGAUGAUAAGUUUAUCUAUAUACUGUUUAUAGCCUUGUGGUAUUCUUACGUAUUCUUUGUGAUAUAUUAAUAAAACGAAACAGGACAGUAUGCCACAUGUGGAGAUCAUUAUCAUUGUCUUGUUGGUCUUUGUAGAUUCUUCGCACUCAAGGUUACCACAAGUUAGCCAGGGACACGCUCAAUCAGCUCUAAGCCGAGUUGAUGGCUUAGUCGUGGGGCUGUGAGUGCCAUUUGGCUCUCCAUCUUGCCGGAUUUUCCCAUCCUGUCGCUUUGAUGCAAACGACCUAGGAACACUGUCGCAAUAAUAUUGUAGAGGAACAAGGUCUCUAGACAAAGGGCUAUAAUAAAUGGAUUUUGACAAGGAACAGAACUUCGAGAAUAGAACUCGUAAAGAAUGCUACGGUCCGUUUUUAGUGUAAACGGCUUGGCAAACGAAUGCCUAUGCUAUUGGAACAAGGCAAAGGGAGGCCCUCAAAACCGUCAAGCUUUACCUCCUUCUGUAACUCACGAACUUUGUCGAGCACAUUAUAAGUUUUCUUUGGCAAAUGCUUACAUACUGAUCAGUAGGCGUGACAUCUCCUGCUAUAGGGUCUAGUUUUUAGGAUCCUAGAAAUCUACUCCGGGAGACGUUAAUACAGUUGUAAAUUUUUUAAAUUAGUUGUUCCGUGAAAUCUAAUAAGCUAAAUGUCCUAAACAGCAACGUCACUUUGGUCNNNNNNNNNNNNNNNNNNNNNNNNNNNNNNNNNNNNNNNNNNNNNNNNNNNNNNNNNNNNNNNNNNNNNNNNNNNNNNNNNNNNNNNNNNNNNNNNNNNNNNNNNNNNNNNNNNNNNNNNNNNNNNNNNNNNNNNNNNNNNNNNNNNNNNNNNNNNNNNNNNNNNNNNNNNNNNNNNNNNNNNNNNNNNNNNNNNNNNNNNNNNNNNNNNNNNNNNNNNNNNNNNNNNNNNNNNNNNNNNNNNNNNNNNNNNNNNNNNNNNNNNNNNNNNNNNNNNNNNNNNNNNNNNNNNNNNNNNNNNNNNNNNNNNNNNNNNNNNNNNNNNNNNNNNNNNNNNNNNNNNNNNNNNNNNNNNNNNNNNNNNNNAAAAUAGUGUGUUUUGGGCGGAUGCACCACCGUGGGACGCUUCUUGGUCUUAAGAAGCUAAUACAGGUGCUAUUGGGAAACGUUGAUGUUCUACAGCUCUCUACGUUUCACUGGAUGGAGCUGCUGGUGGCGCAUUUCCUACAUCUGAUACCUUUUUCUUUGGUAUGUAUGAACUGUGUAGUGUGCUAAGUUCACUUGCAAUUAUCGGGUGCAGGUCUUAGAUGGAAUGCGUAGCAUAGCUUCCAAGUGCAAAGGAUUGAAAAGUUCUGGGGACGAAGACCUUCAAGAACUUUUAUCUGCAAUUAUCAGCAACGACACCGAGGUAAAUGCUCUUCCCAGUACUAUACAGAUACUCUUUGCGAAGUGUACGAAGGUUUUCAAUGCCUGGUAAGAACUUCUCAUGUCGAAUAUUGAUAUAAAUUUUCUAUCAGGAUGAUGGCGCAUGUUGAUGAUCUCCUGAUAGCAAAAGGGGAGGACGUUCGAUCUCUUCUUGAAGAAGACAGGCAAACUCUAGGCGGCUUGAGCUUGAAAGAACUCCAUCGUUUGGUUUAUUCUCAAGUACUGUCUUCGCACAGCUUAACCUGGCAGGUAUAUCGUUGAUUUCUUUGUUCUUGAUGUUUGUCUAACAAUUAUCUCAGCUAGCACCUGUUUACCUCGCGGCUUGCCCAAAGCAAGGCCUGGGAAUGCUUGAAGCUCUCCUAAUGAAGCAGAGUUGUUCCAAUCAGAAACUGGCAUUGAAGGUUGGUCUUGGUGUGACGUUUUCUUGAAUCUUAAUGUGAAUUUUGUGCAACAGGCACUAGAGAUAUGCCGCCUCUAUGAACCUGAUACCGUGAGCACAGCCAUCGCCAGGGUUUAGUAUCCUCUUCUUGCUCCAAGAAUCGGUAUGGAGCUGUUCUCACAUCUCGUUUACACUCUAAACUUCGGAUCGAUCAGAUGGAGCUGCUGGAAUGGCCGGAGCAAGUGCUGGUUAGCGAGUCCGAAACAAACACUCUACUCUGCUGCCUCCAGGAACUCUUCCUCGCCAGGGACCGCCUAGAGAACGACAUCCUAGGCACCGCAGAGCCUGGCGCUGUGGAUCGCCUGAGAUUGGCGCUGGCAUCCAACUUGGGCCGUGCCAUCUUGCAAAGCUGAUCGUUUCUACGAAGGUAGGAAGGAUUUCUUCUUGAACUGUACAAUUCAGAAGCGUGAGUCUAAUUAAGCAAAUAGUUUGACCGUAAAACUUCGCUAAAAGUCAAUUUUUAGUCAACACAGUCUUCAGUUAUUGGAAGUGUUUCAUUGGCUGCCAUUACACACCCCUUUAAUCAGUUGGGUUUAGGGUAGGAUUGUAAUAUUAUUGUUUAAUUUUCGUGGGCAGAAAUAUUUUGAAAGAAUAUUUAACAUGGUGGAUCUAAAGGAAGAUAAUAAACCCUAAGAAAAAGACUAUGGUGACAGGAAGGUGACUUAAAGAUGAUUGCAAUUAUUUCUUGGCGAGGGGAAAAUUGUUAAGCACCAAGUUAGGAUAAUAGGAUAAAAAAAGGACUUUACAAUCAAAUAAUCACCCCUUUAACCAGUUAGGUUAAGGUGUAAAAAAUAGAAUCAUACUCCCAGGCUCCAUCAUGUGGUUCCUGAGCAGUGACACAAAACAAUCUUACUCUUGUUCUUGAUAGCUUGGCAUAAAUUCUCUCUGUCCAAAAAUCACUAGCUGAUUCUCAGCGUGCAACAAAUGUAGUUGCUCCACCACGAUUGCUGCUGCUUAGUCACCACCACUACCACUGCUACCAGCGCCACUGCUAAACUUUGGCGAGGGGUUUCUAACAUUCUCGAUGGCUUUCAUCAGGACGUUGCUAUUGGUAUGCUUGGGUGGUGGCAUCAAUAAAACAGAUGCAUGCAACACCUCCCUAUCCUGCCUUGGCAAUCUCAGACAAGUGCAAACAAGAUUUUGCUACUCUCCCCUAACAGUGUGAUUUCACCCUGUUGACGUUCACGGCCCAUUUCCUUCACCAUCAAUUCUCCAAAGGGUUUUUAAAGUUGUGAAAGUUGACUUAGUGGACCUGUGGUUUUCCACAAGCACUCUACCCAGAGCAAUGUACGGCAGUUUAUCAUGCCCUAAAAGCAUAUGCGUAAAGAAUAUGAUACCUGAUUUUCUUGAUAUUGGGACUACUGCAUGGCGUUUUCUGUUCGGUGUAAAUGCGUUUAACUCGUUUUCUGCACUAAACUAAUCUUUCAGAACGCUCAAUCCACCUAAUCACCUUUUGUUUUUUAACCUGCAGUUUUGGAGGUAUAUGUAUGACAAAGUCAUGCACGAUGAGUCAAGCUAUACUUCAUUUUGGGAUAAACAUGUUUUGUGCACUAAACUAACCCAUUUACCCCAUUAGUCUUCUUCUGGUGUACAUACCUCUUCUGAAGGUGAAUUGCAAUGGCAACCAUGGCGACAAUGCAGGGAGCCUUGGUGACAUUGAGGCGAAUUUUGAUUUCAGCAAGGUAAAGUGGAACCUGUCUUGCCCAAAGCAGUGCUUAACUCCUUGUGGAAUGCUCCAGAUUGAUGUGCGUUCCAAGAGUUCUGAGGAUUACCUCCACACCAACCUGGCACCAUCGUUUGGGACAUUGAAUGCAGAAACAGUGAAGAAGAUGGAUGAGGUUCUCAAAGUUUGCAUCUCGGGAACCACAGACCUUCUAGCCAAAGUGCCACCGAAAGAGCGAACUUGGGAGAAGGUCAACUCCACGUUCAUGCAAAAUCCCCUGGUUGAGCCAAUGGGCGAUGGAGUUAGCAGAGCUGACCAGUUUCUCAACAAAAGCUCUAGCGACUUCAAGAUUGACAGGUCACCGGACCCAGCUACUGUGAAAGCGGUAAAAGAGUCAUGUAUUAUGGAAGAGCUCUAUUAACCUUUGCGGCCUUCUCUCGUCACAGGUUCAGGUCUGGUUUGUGAAUCUCAUCGCAGAUGAGGACGUCCUGAAAUCAACCAAGAUCGACAUUAAAGUUGUUGGGGAAAUUGUUGCUUAGUCAGGGGUGACCAUUACCAGCUUUGAAAAUUUCUUUGCCAAGCAUGAGCACCACGAGAAGACCAUAAUUGACAUCGGGGUCUUAAGGUACCCUGAUAUGCAAAACCCGUACUUCAAGGUUUGUGCCCAGGCUGCCUUUUGUAUUUCAGUCACAGCUCAUGCUUAUGAGUACAGGUGUACCGCAUCAAACUCUUUGUUUGGUCUGAUAGCAACCGUAUUGUGUUCCAUCAGGAGGAUUCCAAUGGCAUCAUUGGAGGUGAGGUGUCUAAUGUAAACCACUGAAGACUGCACGCUCCUUUUGUUCUAUUUGCAGAGUUCACCUUCCGUAAGUUUAAGCCGCGCAAGGAGCUCAUUGACAAGAUGAACCCAGACGCCAAAAAGAAGGCUGUGGAAGACAUCUUUGGUUUCUAAUAUCUAAAUUGAGCCAAAGAUGCCUCAAGCUAAAACAUCUUUCUAAAUACAUGACCUACUUGAAAAUAACAGCUAUCUAUUGUCUUUAUAUUUUUUAAUCUCAAUUUCUGAAAAGAGACAAUCAGGGAAACAAAGACUUGAUAUACAAACUACAAUAAAAGUAAUAAAUAUCUAAAACCUAGAUGCUUUGGAUUCCAAGUACUUUUGUCAAUGUUGCAAACUUUUGCCUUUGAAACGUGAUGAUAAAUUUAUCUCUGUCUAUAUACUGUUUAUAGUCUUGUGGUGCCCAUCAAGAAGCAUAAAUAUUCUUUGUGAUAUAUUACUAAAACGAAACAGGACAGUUUGCCAUGUGAAGAUCAUUAUCAUUGUCUCGUUGGUCUUUGUAGAUUCUUCGUGCUCAAGGUUACCACAAGUUAGCCAGGGACACCCUCAAUCAGCCCUAAGCCGAGUUGAUGGCUUAGUCGUGAGUGCCAUUUGGCUCUCCAUCUUGCUGGAUUUUCCCAUCCUGUCGCUUUGAUGCAAACGACUCCAGGAACACUGUCGCAAUAAUAUUGUAGAAAUGGAUUUUGACAAGGAACAGAACUUCGAAAAUAGAACUUUAGAGAAUGCUACUUGGAACAAGGCAAAGGGAGGCCCACAAAACCGUCGAGCUUUUCCUCCCCCUCUAACUCACGAACUUUGUCACAAGCACAUUGUAAGUUUUCUUUUGCAAAUGCUUACGUACUGAUCAGUAGGCGUGACAUCUCCUGCUAUAGGGUCGAGUUUUUAGGAUCCUAGAAAUCUACUCCAGGACAAGACGAUCAAGACGUUAAUACAGUUGUAAUUUUUUUAAAUUAAUAAGCUAAAUGCGCGAAUCUUUCCAAAACAGCAACGUCACUUUGGUCUUUUCUUAGUUUCUUGUCCAGCUGAGAACAGAGGUUUGUCUAGCUCAAGCAUGAGUUUCUAAAUGAAUACGUCCUGCGUUCUGACAUGGUUGAAUUAUCCUUGCUCAUAUUUACGACCAGUAAACAUUACAUAAUCAACGGCUACUUUGAUUUUCUUCCUCUCGCAGCAAGGUGGUCCCUUCGUACUCGGUGCUCGCUCCCUCCUCGCCUGCCAAAUACCUCCCUGGUAUGGAAGUCCUGGUGUUGCCGUAGGUUUUAAGCCUGACUUUUCUAAGGUUUGAUGUGGUUGCAGCAAAGUUUUUAGUUUCUCAGAUUUUAUUACAUGCAGGCGAGGGAAAAAUGGCGAAGUCAGGUUUCCAAGCUUGAAAAUAGUGUGUUUUGGGCGGAAUGCAACCACCGUGGGACGCUUCUUGGUCUUAAGAAGCUAAUACAGGUGCUAUUGGGAAACGUUGAUGUUCUACAGCUCUCUACGUUUCACUGGAUGGAGCUGCUGGUGGCGCAUUUCCUACAUCUGAUACCUUUUUCUUUGGUAUGUAUGAACUGUGUAGUGUGCUAAGUUCACUUGCAAUUAUCGGGUGCAGGUCUUAGAUGGAAUGCGUAGCAUAGCUUCCAAGUGCAAAGGAUUGAAAAGUUCUGGGGACGAAGACCUUCAAGAACUUUUAUCUGCAAUUAUCAGCAACGACACCGAGGUAAAUGCUCUUCCCAGUACUAUACAGAUACUCUUUGCGAAGUGUACGAAGGUUUUCAAUGCCUGGUAAGAACUUCUCAUGUCGAAUAUUUAUAUAAAUUUUCUAUCAGGAUGAUGGCGCAUGUUGAUGAUCUCCUGAUAGCAAAAGGGGAGGACGUUCGAUCUCUUCUUGAAGAAGACAGGCAAACUCUAGGCGGCUUGAGCUUGAAAGAACUCCAUCGUUUGGUUUAUUCUCAAGUACUGUCUUCGCACAGCUUAACCUGGCAGGUAUAUCGUUGAUUUCUUUGUUCUUGAUGUUUGUCUAACAAUUAUCUCAGCUAGCACCUGUUUACCUCGCGGCUUGCCCAAAGCAAGGCCUGGGAAUGCUUGAAGCUCUCCUAAUGAAGCAGAGUUGUUCCAAUCAGAAACUGGCAUUGAAGGUUGGUCUUGGUGUGACGUUUUCUUGAAUCUUAAUGUGAAUUUUGUGCAACAGGCACUAGAGAUAUGCCGCCUCUAUGAACCUGAUACCGUGAGCACAGCCAUCGCCAGGGUUUAGUAUCCUCUUCCUUUCCAGGCUUGGGGUUCUCACCUGUGUUUUAUGUCUUCCAGGCUGUUGGUGUUCAUAGUUUAAAGCAUGGAAAGAAGGGCCAAGGGAUAAUGUGGCUUCAAUUGGCCCGAGACGAGCAGAGGCUUUCUACUCUUGCGGAUAGCUUUUGAACACAAUAACGUCUGGUGAAGCUGAUAGUCUGGAUAAUCUCGAGGUAGCAGUCUUACGUUUUAUUUGAUACACGCACACUUUUAACGCUCUUUUCCCGUGCCAGCAUUUUGAGGGUCUCUGUGACAUCCUUGGCUCGGGAGCAACGAAGCAUCAAGGCCUGUCGUUCCUAGCAAGGUACUCACUUCAUACAGUUGCAAAACUAUCCGGAGCUCACUUCCAACUUCACGCAGGUACAAAAGCUUUAAGGCAGCGCUGCAAAACAUCAGAGAUCUGCGUUGUAGGGAGGCUUCCUACACCCGAACGGAUUGGUAACCUGGAGAAGAGAAGUCACCGCUGCUCUGCCAAGUGCAGCGAGGUUUUCGUAAAACCCCGGCUUGCAGCUUCUAAAAUCUGGAACCUUUCCACGUAAAUUCUGGCUGUCCUUGCUCCAAGAAUCGGUAUGGAGCUGUUCUCACGUCUCGUUUACACUCUAAACUUCGGAUCGAUCAGAUGGAGCUGCUGGAAUGGCCGGAGCAAGUGCUGGUUAGCGAGUCCGAAACAAACACUCUACUCUGCUGCCUCCAGGAACUCUUCCUCGCCAGGGACCGCCUAGAGAACGACAUCCUAGGCACCGCAGAGCCUGGCGCUGUGGAUCGCCUGAGAUUGGCACUGGCAUCCAACUUGGGCCGUGCCAUCUUGCAAAGCUGAUCGUUUCUACGAAGGUAGGAAGGAUUUCUUCUUGAACUGUACAAUUCAGAAGCGUGAGUCUAAUUAAGCAAAUAGUUUGACCGUAAAACUUCGCUAAAAGUCAAUUUUUAGUCAACACAGUCUUCAGUUAUUGGAAGUGUUAGCUUUUCAUUGGUUUUCAAUGAAUAUAAUUGUUUAAUUUUCGUGGGCAGAAAUAUUCUGAAAGAAUAUUUAACAUGGUGGAUCUAAAGGAAGAUAAUAAACUCUAAGAAAAAGACUAUGGUGACAGGAAGGUGACUUAAAGAUGAUUGCAAUUAUUUCUUGGCGAGGGGAAAAUUGUUAAGCACCAAGUUAGGAUAAUAGGAUAAAAAAACAUUGUUACACACCAGAUCAAAAUAAUAGGAUAAAAAAGGGACUUUACAAUCAAAUAAUCACCCCUUUAACCAGUUAGGUUAAAGUGUAAAAAAUAGAAUCAUACUCCCAGGCUCCAUCAUGUGGUUCCUGAGCAGUGACACAAAACAAUCCUACUCUUGUUCUUGAUAGCUUGGCAUAAAUUCUCUCUGUCCAAAAAUCACUAGCUAAUUCUUAGCGUGCAACAAAUGUAGUUGCUCCACCACGAUCGCUGCUGCUUAUGCCGGUUGUCACCACCACUACCACUGCUACCAGCGCCACUGCUAAACUUUGGCAAGGGGUUUCUAACAUUCUCAAUGGCUUUCAUCAGGACGUUGCUAUUGGUAUGCUUGGGUGGUGGCAUCAAUAAAACAGAUGCAUGCAACACCUCUUUAUCCUGCCUUGGAAGUCAGGCUCCCAAUCUCAGACAAGUGCAAACAAGCUUUCGCUUUCGCAUGAGGUGUCUAAUGUAAACCACUGAAGACUGCACGCUCCUUUUGUUCUAUUUGCAGAGUUCACCUUCCGUAAGUUUAAGCCGCGCAAGUAGACCAUUGACGAGAUGAACCCAGACGCCAAAAAGAAGGCUGUGGAAGCUGCAGAUAACAUCUUUGGUUUCUAAUAUCUAAAUUGAGCCAAAGAUACCUCAAGCUAAAACAUCUUUCUAAAUACAUGACCUACUUGAAAAUAACAGCUAUCUAUUGUCUUUAUAUUUUUUAAUCUUAAUUUCUGAAAAGAGACAAUCAGGGAAACAAAGACUUGAUAUACAAACUACAAUAAAAGUAAUAAAUAUCUAAAACCUAGAUGCUUUGGAUUCCAAGUACUUUUGCCUUCCAGUGGAACAUUGAAACGUGAUGAUAAAUUUAUCUCUGUCUAUAUACUGUUUAUAGUCUUGUGGUGCCCAUCAAGAAGCAUAAGUAUUCUUUGUGAUAUAUUAAUAAAACGAAACAGGACAGUUUGCCAUGUGAAGAUCAUUAUCAUUGUCUCGUUGGUCUUUGUAGAUUCUUCGUGCUCAAGGUUACCACAAGUUAGCCAGCCUCAAUCAGCCCUAAGCCGAGUUGAUGGCUUAGUCGUGAGUGCCAUUUGGCUCUCCAUCUUGCUGGAUUUUCCCAUCCUGUCGCUUUGAUGCAAACGACCCCAGGAACACUGUCGCAAUAAUAUUGUAGAAAUGGAUUUUGACAAGGAACAGAACUUCGAAAAUAGAACUUUAGAGAAUGCUACUUGGAACAAGGCAAAGGGAGGCCCACCAAACCGUCGAGCUUUUCCUCCCCCUCUAACUCACGAACUUUGUCACCAGCACAUUGUAAGUUUUCUUUUGCAAAUGCUUACGUACUGAUCAGUAGGCGUGACAUCUCCUGUUAUAGGGUCGAGUUUUUAGGAUCCUAGAAAUCUACUCCAGGACAAGACGAUCAAGACGUUAAUACAGUUGUAAUUUUUUUAAAUUAAUAAGCUAAAUGCGCGAAUCUUUCCAAAACAGCAACGUCACUUUGGUCUUUUCUUAGUUUCUUGUCCAGCUGAGAACAGAGGUUUGUCUAGCUCAAGCAUGAGUUUCUAAAUGAAUACGUCCUGCGUUCUGACAUGGUUGAAUUAUCCUUGCUCAUACUUACGACCAGUAAACAUUACAUAAUCAACGGCUACUUUGAUUUUCUUUCUCUCGCAGCAAGGUGGUCCCUUCGUACUCGGUGCUCGCUCCCUCCUCGCCUGCCAAAUACCUCCCUGGUAUGGAAGUCCUGGUGUUGCCGUAGGUUUUAAGCCUGACUUUUCUAAGGUUUGAUGUGGUUGCAGCAAAGUUUUUAGUUUCUCAGAUUUUAUUACAUGCAGGCGAGGGAAAAAUGGCGAAGUCAGGUUUCCAAGCUUGAAAAUAGUGUGUUUUGGGCGGAAUGCAACCACCGUGGGACGCUUCUUGGUCUUAAGAAGCUAAUACAGGUGCUAUUGGGAAACGUUGAUAUUCUACAGCUCUCUACAAUUCACUGGAUGGAGCUGCUGGUGGCGCAUUUCCUACAUCUGAUACCUUUUUCUUUGGUAUGUAUGAACUGUGUAGUGUGCUAAGUUCACUUGCAAUUAUCGGGUGCAGGUCUUAAUGCGUAGCAUAGCUUCCAAGUGCAAAGGAUUGAAAAGUUCUGGGGAUGAAGACCUUCAAGAACUUUUAUCUGCAAUUAUCAGCAACGACACCGAGGUAAAUGCUCUUCCCAGUACUAUACAGAUACUCUUUGCAAAGUGUACGAAGGUUUUCAAUGCCUGGUAAGAACUUCUCAUGUCGAAUAUUUAUAUAAAUUUUCUAUCAGGAUGAUGGCGCAUGUUAAUGAUCUCCUGAUAGCAAAAGGGGAGGACGUUCGAUCUCUUCUUGAAGAAGACCUUGACAGAACUCCAUCGUUUGGUUUAUUCUCAAGUACUGUCUUCGCACAGCUUAACCUGGCAUUGAUUUCCUUCUUCUUGAUGUCUAAACCGGCUAGAGAACGACAUCCUAAGCACCGCAGAGCCUGGCGCUGUGGAUUGCCUGAGAUUGGCACUGGCAUCCAACUUGGGCCGUGCCAUCUUGCAAAGCUGAUCGUUUCUUCGUUGUCAAACAAAGGUAGGAUUUCUUCUUGAACUGUACAAUUCAGAAGCGUGAGUCUAAUUGAGCAAAUAGUUUGACCGUAGAACUUCGCUAAAAGUCAAUAUUUAGUCAACAUAGUCUUCUGUCACUGAGAAUGUUAGCUUUUCAUUCAUUUUCAUACUUGAACUCAGCAAUUAAUCUAUACACAUGUACGGCUACGUUGAUUUGUUAGUCACCCUCAGAACCAAGCACUACUACACCAGCGUCCUAGUCUUGGGCACCCGAAGCAUCUCACGCCUGCCUUGGAUGGAUACAAGCCGGGCUCCCAAUCUCGGACAAGCCCAAUCAAGCUUUUGCUACUCUUGCAAAAGGCCCCAGACCAGCGCAUGAAACGAGUGUGUGAUUUCACCCUGUUGACGUUCACGGCCCUUUUCAUUUCACCACUCUCCGAGACGAUGCUGUGAAACUUGACUUAGUGGACCUGUGGUUUUCCACAAGCGCUGGUUCCUUUGCGAUGCGAUGCGGUUCCAGCGACCGGCUGGGGCAAAGCCGUCUACGCAUUUGGCGAGGAGAGGAAGAAUCCCAACAAGUUAAGUGGCGUUGGGUCAAGCUAGACUACUGCACCGAAGGAGGCUUGGCGUUUUGGACCGAACGUGUUUGGUGUAGAUGCGUUUCCUGCACCGAACUAGUUUUCUGCGCUAAACUAAUCUUUCAGAACGCUCAUCCAAAUCACCUUUUGUUUUUUAACCGGGUAUACCUGCAAUUUUUGGAGGUAUAUGUAUGACAAAGUCAUGCAGCACGUGCUGCGAUGAUACUUCAUUUUGGGAUAAACAUGUUUUGUGCACUAAACUAACUCAUUUACCCCAUUAUAAAAAGUGAGUGUACAUACCUCUUCUGGUGCACAUACUUCUUCUGAAGGUGAAUUGCAAUGGCAACCAUGGCAACAAUGCAGGGAGCCUUCGGUUCAUUGAAGGAGAUUGGUGACAUUGUGGCGAAUUUUGAUUUCAGCAAGGUAAAGUUGAACCUGUCUUGCCCAAAGCAGUGCUUAACUCCUUGUGGAAUGCUCCAGAUUGAUGUGCGUUCCAAGACUGCUGAGGAUUACCUCCACACCAACCUGGCACCAUCGUUUGGGGGAUUGAAUGCAGAAACAGUGAAGAAGAUGGAUGAGGUUCUCAAAGUUUGCAUCUCGGGAACCACAGACCUUAUAGCCAAAGUGGCACCGAAAGAGCGAACUUGGGAGAAGGUCAACUCCAUGUUCAUGCAAAAUCCCCUGGUUGAGCCAAUGGGCGA
rnacentral:lncRNA from 1 species